GCCGGUGUGGUGAAAUUGGUAUACACGACGGAUUCAAAAUCCGUUGCAGCAAUGCGUGGCGGUUCGAGUCCGCCCACCGGUA
rnacentral:tRNA from 1 species